rnacentral:rRNA from 1 species
AUGAAGACUGCACACACGCUGCUCCUGGCAGUCGCCUUCCUCGUGCUGGCAUCAGAGGCUGCAGUGAAGGCGGACGUCUGUACAGGGUCACUUCACAAGACGCCGCUACCAUGUGAUCAGGCAGGUUGCCUGCACAUUUGCCGCGAGCAUGUGAAUGGGCAAGGGCACGCGUGCCCUCAAUGCAAUUGGAGUGCUAGUUGCAACUAUAAUGGAUUAUGCGAGUGUGAUGUCUGCCUUCCUCCUCCUUCUGCUCCUAUCCAACACCAACAGAGCGACUGA